GCACCCAGAGCGGCUCGAGCAUUUCUUUACCCGUUAGCUGUUACUGACCCAUCGUGGAGUCUCUGAAGUUUUGACCUGGUGUGAAAUCCUCGAACUGACAGGGCCUCUGAAGCACAGCUCGUUUCUGCCCUUAUCACGAAACACUUCUGCCUUCAAACUGUGUUGGCAGAUGGACAAAGGGUUUUAUGAUUCCGCCACACUCUCUCAGCUUGGUUACUGGUAUGGUGCUCUGGUUAGAAGUGCCCACCGGUUGCUCACCAACUACAUGCUGAAUCUGGAUAUUCCUGAAGGGAGGUCUGAGUGUGCCGGGCAAGUAUAUCAUUCAUUCUUUUCCUAAGUGGACAUUUAUUGAGUGCCUGCCGUGUGUAGUCACAGGAUAUGCAGGAGAUACAAAGCGAAAGAAAAAAUUCCAGCCCUGGAGAAGUUCAUGGGUUUGUUUCUUUAGCGGUAGUGGAAGGAUUCAAAAUGUCAUUUGCUCUCCAGCUCAGGGGUCCCUCUUGGACCUUUCCUUGUGGACCGAGGAUCUUUAUGUCCUGCUGGGGCCAGAGGAUGUGAAGGCAGCUGCCUAGGCUAGAGAUGCUGGUGAUGAUCUAGAAACCUGAGUGGGGCCCAGAGAAGAGACCCAGCAAGAGGUGGCACGGAGGGACAGGCAGAGGCAGUCUCGGGGACUUGAGAUUUCAUCCUCAAGGUAGUAGGAAGUCUUCGGAGACUCUUAACCAGUGGCAUGUGAUGAUCAGGAUGGACAACCGUGGCCUGUAGUUCCCGGACAGCCUAAUGUGGGAGCAAUGCGCGACAGAGCUCAGUUUGAAUCCCGGCUGUCAAUGACUUAGAGCUAUGGCCCUGUGCCAUUCCCGCAGCCCACCGUGUCCAGCUACAGACCACCCUCCUCACGCAUCAACACAAGGUCAAUGGUAGCCUAAGGCGGCAUCACAACGGUUAUGUCAUUCCCGUGCCUUCAUCUCGUCACGUGCGCGUUUUAUCAUCUCCCGUCACCACAAGAAGCAUACGUACGGUCACAUAGGUAUGUCCGUCUAGGAAACAACGCGGUGUAUGUAGGGGUCGGCACUAUCCGUGGUUUCAGGUGGCAUUGGGGGUCUUGCAGCGCGGGCCCCACUCAUAAGCGAGGGGCUACUGUAGCGACGUGAGGAAUCACAAGCAAGCACCAAGUGGAGUCACAGGGCCUGGAUUUGAGUCUCAGCUCCAUUGCUGACUGGCUGUGUGAUCCCAGGUAACUCAUACAACCUCUCGAGCCUCGGUUUUCCUCAUCCAUAAAAUGGGAACGCUACUGAUAAUAGGCGCUUCAGGAGACUGUGGUGAACUAAGGUACGUGAGCUUGUUUUUUUAAGCUAGAAAGCCUCACCAGUGGUUGCCUGGGAUCAUUUUUGCCCCCCAGACUGAAACAUCCUGGUUCUAAAACCAAGGUAACAUUAAGAGAGCCUCUGACUCUGACUCCGGCCUCACUUGCUUGGCUGGAGUUCAGCUCACUUAAAUUCCUCCCCAGCGGUUCUGAAAUCGCUGGGCCAGGGGUACCGGCAGAGAGUCUGUUUUGCUCUGAGCAAGGAACGCCAAGCCUUUUCUGGGGACAUGGCCCUUUAUGCACAGGCUCUCCCAUGUUCACCCUCUUGACCCCACUACCUUUUCUACACCUGGUGGGACUAGGGGUGGACUGUGCUCCCAGGGUAUCUGACGGGCCAACAGCUCCCCAAGCCUCCCCAGGCAUCCGCGUGCCGGAGACCCUGCCCCUCUCCUGUGCCGAAGUUUGGACUCCGGGGCACAAGAUGGGAGAGGGAGGCUUGGGAGCAGAGUGAGGGUAGCUGAUGGCCCACCUCACCCCUGCCGGGGGCAGAGGUGCCCGGUGCCUGGGAGAAGCUGUUCCGCCUCCUGCUGUUCUCCAGCUGUGUUCAGUUCCCCCUCUUUCCGGCCUUCCCUGUAAACUCCCACCGGUUAGGGCAACCCGAAGUAUUGCUGUGUCUCUCAGCUUAGAGGAGCCUGAUUGCCUUGGGAGGAUCUCAAGGUCCCUCCAGAGGGAGUGGAGUUUGCUCAGAGUAACGUGCAUCAGCUACUCUAUUUGGAAGAUGGAAACACCCGUUAAGUCUACUGACCAGGGACUGGUAAACAGGACCUUGGCAUCCACACCACAGUGAGAUCCUACAGCUGGAAAAUAGCACCAGGAGGCCCGUUAGGUACCGAUGCGGGGUGCUUGCUCCACAGGACAUUUUCCUCUGCAAAAAAGUGUGAGGUUCAGAACAGUGUGUGUAAUCUGCUGUCACUUGUGCAGCAGAUCAAAGACUAAAAUAUCUCUGGAAUAUCACACAUAAUCUAACGGCACUAGCUGUCCGUGAGGAAUGGAGCCGGGUGGCGGUGGUGAGGGAAGGAAUUUUCACUGAACAUCCUGCAGUGACUUUUCUAAAUCGAGAACACUGAAAUGUAAUCACCUGCUUAAACAGUGAAAUCAGAAAAAAAAAAGCUUAGAACCGUGGCUUGUGAGGUUGAGCAGUCCUGAGUUCAACUUUGGCUCCACGAUAUAUUGCCGUGCAUUAGCGAACGAGUGGCUCAACCUGUCUGAACUCGGCUUUCUUAUCUGUAAAAUAAUAACAGUAAUGCCUGCCUGAUAGGACUGUCAUAAUGCUCUACCCUUGUUGGCCCAUAGUAGCCAUUCACCUUUGAUUGGCUAUUGUUGUCAUUGCCAAUUUCCUCACAAGGCACUUAACAUUUCCCCUUGGCUUGUCCCCUGCUCCUUAAGAUA